AAAUUGUUACCCAUACGUCGUCGAAUGCCGAAUAGCUAGCAUGCAAGGGAACUAGCUAGCUCCAUUAGCAGCAACCUUGAUAUUGGAUGAAGGUACCCGGCACUGAAUGCAUGGGAAGAACCGAGAGGAACCAGGAAAAUGCGCUGCCAGACCUGGUGACCAACAUUUCUGAACCCAAGCAUUUCCCGGGGGUUUCAUCAUUAUUCGAGACCCAAAGCUGUUUAUCACGACUGAGAAAUUUUCUAUCGUUUUUUGCAGUACCUAUCUAUUAGUUCAAAGGAAAGUUUAAAAAACCCAAACUUUAUAAUAUUCCAUCAUUCCAACAGAUUGAUACAAAAAUAUUGCAAAGCAUUAGUUUCCGUUAAGUACUACACGUUGUCGUUCAAGGUUCGGCCAUGGCUAGAACUCAGUUAAGUGGGCACCUACAAAGUUCAGCAAAAGAAAGCAACUAUGGCUGCCGUACUAGGAAAGCUGCAGCAGUGGACCGACAUUUCUGCAUAAAUUUCAAUAGAUUCGCAAUCGCGCAACUUUGAUAGGGUGGCAGAAAGUGCAGGCCAUAAGGAGGAAGAAACUAUUCGGGAAAUCGGAACUUCCACCCACUAGGAGGGAGCUCCAACUUAAAAAUUAGCACUAUGCUGGAGCCACCCGGAACAGACUGCAGUGACAGAAUAAAUCACGAGAAGAUUUCCCCAAAACCGUUCCAUCAUAAAUAGACAUUUCCAGUAACGAUUUAGCAAAGUUUUCACCAGUUCCAGUUAUCCGCAGUCUAGAUUCACCAGUUCCAGUUACUAUACGAAGGUAUACGAGAUUCGUACAGGUUAAACCGAAAACUUCUAUCAGUUCUGUUCCACAAACUCAAACAAACGAACCUGGAUUAGUGCAUGCAUGC